rnacentral:pre_miRNA from 1 species
AACCUACUCCCUCCGUUCGGAAUUACUUGUCUCAAAAAUGGAUGUAUCUAGAUGUAUUUUAGUUCUAGAUACAUCCAUUUCCGAGACAAGUAAUUCGGAACGGAGGGAGUAACAG